rnacentral:rRNA from 1 species
UACGUAGGGUGCGAGCGUUAAUCGGAAUUACUGGGCGUAAAGCGUGCGCAGGCGGUUCGCUGUGUCCUGUGUGAAAGCCCCGGGCUUAACCUGGGAAUGGCAUGGGAAACUGGCGAGCUUGAGUGCGGCAGAGGGGGGUGGGAAUUCCGCGUGUAGCAGUGAAAUGCGUAGAUAUCUGGAGGAACACCGAUGGCGAAGGCAAUCCCCUGGGCCUGCACUGACGCUCAUGCACGAAAGCGUGGGGAGCAAACAGG